UCUCCGUAGGUGAACCUGCGGAGGGAUCAUUACAGAGUUCGUGCCCUCACGGGUAGAUCCCCCACCCUGUGUUAUUAUACCUUUGUUGCUUUGGCGGGCCGCCCUCGGCUACCGGCCCCGGCUGGUACGCGCCCGCCAGAGGACCCCAAACUCUGAAUGUUAGUGUCGUCUGAGUACUAUACAAUAGUUAAAACUUUCAACAACGGAUCUCUUGGUUCUG
rnacentral:misc_RNA from 1 species